AAAAAAAAAAAAAAAAACCACCGCUGGGCGCGGUGGCUCAUGACUGUAACCCAGCACUUUGGGAGGCCGAGGUGGGUGGAUCAUGAGAUCAUGAGUUCAAGACCAGCCUGGCCAAGAUGGUGAAACCCCGUCUCUACUAAAACAAACAAACAAACAAAAAUUAGCCGGGCAUUGUGGUGGGCACCUGUAAUCCCAGCUACUCGGGAGGCUGAGGCAGAGAAUUGCUUGAACCCGGGAGACGGGGCUCGCAGUGAGCUGAGAUCGCGCCACUGCACUCCAGCCUGGGCAACAGAGCGAGACUCUGUCUCAAAAAAGAAAAAAAAAAAGAAAAAUUAGUUAUCAGGCCAUGAAAAUACACGGAGGGAACUUAAAUGUAUAUAGCUAAGCAAAAGAAGACGCUCUGAGGAAGAUACACAAUGUAUGAUUCCAACUAUAUGACAUUCUGAAAAAGACAAAACUUUGGAGACAGUAAAAAGAGCAGUGGCUGCCAGGGGUUGGGGGAGGAAGGGAUGAAUACAUGAAGCACAGAUGAUUUUUAUGGCAGUGAAGCCAUUUUGCAUGACACUGUAAUGGUGGGUACACAUCAUUAUGUAUUGGCCCAAAUCCACAGAAUGUACACCACCAAGAGUGAGCCCUAAUGUAAACUAUGGACUUUGGGUGAUAACCAUGUGUCAGUGCAGGUUCAUUGAUUGUAACAAAUGACCCAUUCUGGUGGGGAAUGUUGAUAAGGGUUGGGGGAGGCUAUGCAGACGUUGGGGCAAGGGACACAUGGGAAUUCUCCGAACUCUCCACUCAAUUUUGCUGUGAACCUGAAACUGCUCUUAAAAACAGUCUUUUUAAAAACGGUCAUAUGACUUGACCAACGUCAUAUAGGUGUGUGGUAUCUCAGGAGGGCCAAAGGCUGGCUGGGUAGUGCUUAGAGUGAAGGCACUAAAGGAGCAAAAUACACAGUUUGUCUUUUUGAAAGAAAAGUCAAUUUCAUACACUUUUAAAGCAUAAACAUUCUUAUUUUCCAU
rnacentral:lncRNA from 10 species